AGUGAACGCUGGCGGUAGGCCUAACACAUGCAAGUCGAACGGCAGCACAGUAAGAGCUUGCUCUUACGGGUGGCGAGUGGCGGACGGGUGAGGAAUACAUCGGAAUCUACUUUUUCGUGGGGGAUCACGUAGGGAAACUUACUCUAAUACCGCAUACGACCUACGGGUGAAAGCAGUGGAUCUUCGGACCUUGCGCGAUUGAACGAGCCGCUGUUGAGUUAGCUAGUUGGCGGGGUAAAGGCCCACCAAGGCGACGAUCCGUAGCCGGUGUGAGAGGAUGAUCAGCCACACUGGAGCUGAGACACGGUCCAGACUCCUACGGGAGGCAGCAGUGGGGAAUAUUGGACAAUAGGCGCAAGCCUGAUCCAGCCAUACCGCGUGUGUGAAGAAGGCGUUCGGGUUGUAAAGCCCUUUUGUUGGGAGAGAAAAGCAGCAGGUUAAUACCCCGCUGUUCUGACGGUACCCAAAGAAUAAGCACCGGCUAACUUCGUG
rnacentral:rRNA from 1 species